UUCCUACGGGAGGCAGCAGCAGGGAAUAUUGCGCAAUGAGCGAAAGCUUGACGCAGCGACACCGCGUGUGGGAUGACGGAUCUAGGUUUGUAAACCACUUUCAGGAGGGAAGGAAAUGACGGCACCUCCACAAGAAGCCCCGGCCAACUACGUGCCAGCAGCCGCGGUAAUACGUAGGGGGCGAGCGUUGUCCGGAUUUAUUGGGCGUAAAGAGCUCGUAGGCGGUUCAACAAGUCGGUCGUAAAAGUUCAGGGCUCAACCCUGAAAUGUCGAUCGAUACUGUUGUGACUAGGAUACGGUAGAGGUGAGUGGAAUUCCGAGUGUAGCGGUGAAAUGCGUAGAUAUUCGGAGGAACACCAAUUGCGAAGGCAGCUCACUGGGCCGCUAUCGACGCUGAGGAGCGAAAGCUAGGGGAGCAAACAGGAUUAGAUACCCUGGUAGUCCUAGCUGUAAACGAUGGAUACUAGACGUAGGAACUGGAUUGACGGUUUCUGUGUCGUAGCUAACGCGUUAAGUAUCCCGCCUGGGGAGUACGGUCGCAAGACUAAAACUCAAAGGAAUUGACGGAAU
rnacentral:rRNA from 1 species